ACAGCAGUAGCCGCGGGAAUACGAAGGGUGCAAGCGUUACUCGGAAUUACUGGGCGUAAAGCGUGCGUAGGUGGUGGUUUAAGUCCGUUGUGAAAGCCCUGGGCUCAACCUGGGAAUUGCAGUGGAUACUGGAUCACUAGAGUGUGGUAGAGGAUAGUGGAAUUUCCGGUGUAGCAGUGAAAUGCGUAGAGAUCGGAAGGAACAUCUGUGGCGAAGGCGACUAUCUGGGCCAACACUGACACUGAGGCACGAAAGCGUGGGGAGCAAACGGGAUUAGAUACCCCCGUAGUCCCUGUCUCUUAUAC
rnacentral:rRNA from 1 species